AGUGAACGCUGGCGGUAGGCCUAACACAUGCAAGUCGAACGGCAGCACAGGAGAGCUUGCUCUCUGGGUGGCGAGUGGCGGACGGGUGAGGAAUACAUCGGAAUCUACUCUGUCGUGGGGGAUAACGUAGGGAAACUUACGCUAAUACCGCAUACGACCUACGGGUGAAAGCAGGGGACCUUCGGGCCUUGCGCGAUUGAAUGAGCCGAUGUCGGGUUAGCUAGUUGGCGGGGGAAAGGCCCACCAAGGCGACGAUCCGUAGCUGGUCUGAGAGGAUGAUCAGCCACACUGGAACUGAGACACGGUCCAGACUCCUAAGGGAGGCAGCAGUGGGGAAUAUUGGACAAUGGGCGCAAGCCUGAUCCAGCCAUACCGCGUGGGUGAAGGAGGCCUUCGGGUUGUAAAGCCCUUUUGUUGGGAAAGAAAUCCAGCUGGCUAAUACCCGGUUGGGAUGACGGUACCCAAAGAAUAAGCACCGGCUAACUUCGUGCCAGCAGCCGCCGUAA
rnacentral:rRNA from 1 species